UACGUAGGGUGCGAGCGUUAAUCGGAAUUACUGGGCGUAAAGGGUGCGUAGGUGGUUGUUUAAGUCUGCUGUGAAAGCCCCGGGCUCAACCUGGGAAUGGCAGUGGAUACUGGACAGCUAGAGUGCGGUAGAGGGUAGUGGAAUUCCCGGUGUAGCAGUGAAAUGCGUAGAGAUCGGGAGGAACACCAGUGGCGAAGGCGGCUACCUGGACCAGCACUGACACUGAAGCACGAAAGCGUGGGGAGCAAACAGG
rnacentral:rRNA from 1 species